CUCAUUUGACUACUGAAAUGGAAAAGUGGUCAGUGCAGCUGCUCACCUGCCACUUCUAAGAGGCGCUUCAGCCUUCCCAGGGAGGGUUAAUUGGCAGAGACGAGAGUUCAAAGCAGCCCCAGAGUUGAAUUCACUCGCUCCUGAUGCAUUCGGAGUUUAGCGCCACCAACGAAAACAAAACGGAUAUAAACAAGAGUGAGCAGUUCAGUACAAAUAAUAAUUUCGCUUUAAGACUUCUUUUAUUUUUUCUUGUUUUUAAAAUAUUAAAAUAACGUACCUGCUCUUUGUUUUCGUUUAGAAAACCCUCAAAUCGUACAGAAGGAUAGGAAGUAAAAGCGUAACCAUGCUCUUUAAUACAAAAUGUUUAAAAAGAGAAACCACUUUUAAUAGUUUGCAGGUAUCCUGAGACUUCUGGUUUUCCAACCACAAUGAACUCCCCCUGAUGCCCAGACAUACCAAUUAGAAAAUCAGAAAUAGGGCUUGGAGCCUCAUAGAGGAAGGUGAGGGCGUCCUUGACAUGCCUUUGUUGAUUUGCUGCUGUUCCCAAGUAGAAAUAAAUAUUAGGAUGUUUGAGGACAUCUGGAGGAGGGAAAGGUGAGAGGAGCUGCAGCUGCUGCUCAAGGCCACAGCCAAAGGGGUUCCUGGACCAGUACAGACCACGGGGAGUCCUGCUCCUUAAGCUCCCCCCUCUCCUCCCUACCUGUCGGACCCUCCCUUCGACAGUCUUUGACGGGAGCCCCCAGGGGGAGAUGCUACAUUUAUUUUUCCUGCCUCCAAUCCCCCGCCUCCAGGCUGAUGACUCAGCACAGGUUAUUUCACUUUUUGGUUCUCAGCUGUGCUGUGUCAAGCAGAAAAGAUAAACAUUUUAUAUUCCUGAAGGCAGGGGGCUUAUGGAAAGAAUGCACGCAGGACGCCCAGCAUUACGCUGGCCCUUGAGGGAGAAACUGGCAUCAGAAAUUCAAGACCCAUUCUUAGAGGGAUCAGACGAUGGUGGUCCUCACUGUAAAAUGCUUUGCUGCCCCGCAUCGCUGCAGAAUGGAGUCUGGGACCCUUCGAAGCCCCGUUCCCCACGGCCAGCCCAGACAGAGCUGCCCCUGGCACGCAGGCAGUAUGUGAGCUUCUUGUAACUUCUCUUGCAGGACCUGCUGCUGUAUACCUCCAUCUGGAUUUGAUCAGCCUGGUGGCAGGGAGUGACGUUUCUGGGUGCUAACAGGCUGGAGUCUGGUGGCUGCUGAACGGUCUAGACAGGGCCUGUAUUUCCAGUUCACACAAUCCCCAGGAGACAGUGUCUGCCCUGGCAUUUCCUCCCAGGCUGUGCUCCUCUCUUAUGUUAUCUGCCCGGAGCCUGAAGACUUUGAGUUUGAGGUCACUGACCAUCCUGCCCACUGCCAGCACAUGGACCAAACUUAAUACCCACACCCGCUGAAAUGAGAACAGGCCUCUCCUUGAGGGCCACACCAAGCUCCUCACCCCUGGUCUCCAGCCUCAGAAGCCAGAAGAACAAUGUGGAUGGCUGGACAAUGAUGAUGGUCUUCUGGAAACUCCAGGCCUGGAGCAGGGGCCUCUGCCUGGGCCCCCUGUUCCCCAGCAUCUCUCUCCCUCCCUGUCCCCCACUCCUCUCCCUUCUACCCUCUACCCAUCCCUGCUCCUGUCCCCAUCUGCCCUCUCCCAGCAGAAUCCAGACAGCACACCACAAUUAUCCCCAAAUUGACCCGCCAUCAAAUUCACCUGAAGCUGGGGUCAGACUGCUUUCCCAUUAGUGCCCCCUUUCCAUCAUCGUCCUGCAUGGCAGGAGCUGAGAGCCUGCUACUUAAGAGCUGCACGCACCAGCUGCAGCCUUGCCCUUCUAAGCAUCCUUUUCUCCAGGUUGUCUUUUUUCUUCCUCUGGGCUGUUCCUUGACACUUCCUCCCGUUCCCCCAAUUCCUACAGGUAAUUGAAGGCUACAGAAGUAUCAUUUGAGUGACUCUGAAGAUGGUGCCAGCUCUCAAGACCACCCACGUCACUCCUCUUGGAAGACAGCAGCCCCGUGGCGGGGACUGAGAGCAGUUCACAGCACUGGAGGCCAAGCACUGCAACUUCAGGGUGUGGUUCUCAAACUCGAGCGUGCAGCAGAAAUACCUGGAGGGCUUGUUAAAACACAGAUGCUGGGCCCUACCCCGCAGUCUUUGAUUCAGGAGGUCUGGGGUGAGGCAGGAGAAUUUGCACUUCUGACAAGCUCCCAAGUCAUGCUGAGCUGCUGGUCCAGGGAACACACUUUGAGAACCACCAAUUUCACUGUCUGCCAGAGAACUCGAGGCUGAGAGAGUCUUCUUCAGACACCCCCCACCAACCUCGUGGAGGAGAGACCCUCCCUGCAGGAAGCAUGGCUGAUGAGUGGAGUAGGGCCGCAUCUGGGAUCUGAACCUGUGAACCCAGGCCUCCCAAGCAGAAAGUGUGGAACCUUAACCACUUGGCCACAGGCCCAGCCCCGAAGGUGAGGGUCCUUCUAGACUAGGAGGAAGAAUCUAGGCUCUCCUGCCUUCUGUCCCUUCCCUCUUCCUCCCUCUCAUUCUUUCUGUCUUGCCUACCUCAUUUCCGUCUCUCCCCACUGUGGCUUUAUGUCUCUGUCUCUGGGACUCUCCCCACACACACACACACUUCUCCAGUGAUGAGCUGGCAUCGGAUAUGUAGAGGGAGCUCGAAGCCAUCUGGAGACGCUGGGCCGCCCUGACUGACAUAUGCUGAAAUACAGGCGGUGGAAAGACUCUGGGCAAAGAGACCAAUUUGUUAAUUUAAUUGAGUCACAAACAACCAGGAAGCCAACAGGGUUUGUAGGAAACCUAUUAGGUGUUCUCAGAAUCAGCCCAGGGCGGGGUCCUGAGGGAGGCUGAGCUCUGUGGGCCCAUCCCCAACUGCGGGGGUUGAGGUGGGGGGUGCCGGUGGAAUGGCCUGUGCUUAGUGCUGCUUCCCAACCAUGCAGGGCAAGGCAGAGAGAGGCUCUGUGGGGGCUCGUCUGGGGUGGUGGAUGCCAUUAGAGAUCCCCCACCCCCUUUACUGGGCUGGGGCACCCUCUCCCCUUCUCCAGAGACCUGCCCUCAGGGUAAAGGAGCACCUCCCGGCCUGGGAGCUUUAAAGGCUCCUCUCCUGCUGGGGAGCAGCCCAACGCCAAUGACUAGUGACUUGGGAUACAGAAGCUGGGCCUCUUACAGUAAGUAUUUGCCCAGAACUGAGGGGUUUCCUGGUAUGAGGGACUUUCAUUGCUAAAGCUGGGACAGUCCCAGGCAAACCAGGACAGUUGGUCACUCUACUGCUACCCCAAGUUGGAGCUGAUUUUGCCAUGCGUGUGCUCCAGGGCUCCCCCCAGGACAAGGCUGAGACUGGACUCCAGCGAGAUAAUCUCCUUCCUUGCUGACCUCCUUCCUGGCUGGGCCUGCUUCCCUCAGUCCUGAGAGCACUGCCCUAAUCAAUCGUGUGUGCCAAAUCCUCGUCUCAGGUUCUGCUUCUCAUGAACCCAGACAUCCAUCUCCCGCCCCUACCACCAGCAUGAACAAACUACGAAUGGGGAGAGGGCUCUUCAGCACUCCUAACGGUUCUGGGGAUAAGGAAUAUUCAAGGAUGAUGAUGAUGAUGAUAGAUAUUUGUUGAUUUCCAUGGGGGCUCUGUGCUUCACUGUGAUGCCCCCUAACUCCAGCUGGUCAUCAAAGAAUUCACACCUUGGUUGUGCAGAAAAGGGAGGGCUUGAGGCUGAGACAAUUCAUCUCUCUCUACCUUCAUGUGAGGUACUUACCACAUUGUCAGCACUGCUCUAAGCUCUGUGAGGGAAAGAGAAAUGAGUAAGACACAGGCCCUGCCCUCCGGGGUGGCUGUAUUGAUAAGACUGUUUCACAUGAAACAUUUUAGAAGGGCACACGGGC
rnacentral:lncRNA from 1 species